GACGAACGCUGGCGGCGUGCCUAAUACAUGCAAGUCGAGCGAAUGGAUUAAGAGCUUGCUCUUAUGAAGUUAGCGGCGGACGGGUGAGUAACACGUGGGUAACCUGCCCAUAAGACUGGGAUAACUCCGGGAAACCGGGGCUAAUACCGGAUCACAUUUUGAACCGCAUGGUUCGAAAUUGAAAGGCGGCUUCGGCUGACACAUAUGGACGGACCUGCGUCGCAUUAGCUAGGUGGUGAGGUAACGGCUCACCAAGGCAACGAUGCGUAGCCGACCUUAGAGGGUGAUCGGCCACACUGGGACUGAGACACGGCCCAGACUCCUACGGGAGGCAGCAGUAGGGAAUCUUCCGCAAUGGACGAAAGUCUGACGGAGCAACGCCGCGUGAGUGAUGAAGGCUUUCGGGUCGUAAAACUCUGUUGUUAGGGAAGAACAAGUGCUAGUUGAAUAAGCUGGCACCUUGACGGUACCUAACCAGAAAGCCACGGCUAACUACGUGCCAGCAGCCGCAGUAA
rnacentral:rRNA from 1 species